UUCAUGUUGGAGAGAGAAGCCCUAUUUAUCUGCGGCACAGGUAAAGCACAGGCAGCAGCAGUCUCAACUUCCCUCACAGCUUUGCCAUUGUGUCUCGGCUCUGUUGGUGGAAGGGCUGACAAGGUAGUUCAGCCUUUCAGCCUCCAUGGCCCUUUCAUUCAUUGUUAGCA
rnacentral:sRNA from 1 species